rnacentral:rRNA from 1 species
UUCCGGUUGAUCCUGCCGGAGGCGACCGCUUUGGGAGUUCGAUUAAGCCAUGCGAGUCGUGAGUCUUAGGGACUCGGCAUACUGCUCAGUAACACGUGGAUAACCUGCCCUAUCGUCUGGAAUAACCUCGGGAAACUGAGAAUAAGGCCGGAUAGUUCACAACGCCUGGAACGGUUUGUGAAUCAAGGUAGGAUGGGUCUGCGGCGUAUCAGGUUGUAGGGGGUGUAAAGGACCCCCUAGCCUUCGACGCGUACGGGUGUUGGGAGACAUAGCCCGGAGAUGGAUUCUGAGACACGAAUCCAGACCCUACGGGGUGCAGCAGGCGCGAAAACUUCACACUGCAGGAAACUGUGAUGAGGGAACUCCUAGUGCAUGCACUAUGUGUAUGUAGAUCCUACUCUUAACAAGUAGAGGGAAGGGGCUGGGAAAGACCGGUGCCAGCCGCCGCGGUAAUACCGGCAGCUCAAGUGGUCGUCGCUUUUAUUGGGCCUAAAACGUCCGUAGCCUGUUUGGUAAAUCUGUGGGUAAAUCAAUCCGCUCAACGGAUUGAAUUCUGCAGAGACUGCCAGACUAGGGACCGGGAGAGGUGUGGGGUACUCGAGGGGUAGGGGUAAAAUCCUGUCAUCCUUCGAGGACCACCAGUUGCGAAGGCGCCACACUGGAACGGAUCCGACGGUCAGGGACGAAGCCUAGGGGCACGAACCGGAUUAGAUACCCGGGUAGUCCUAGGUGUAAACGCUGUGAACUUGGUGUCGGGGGUCCGCAAGGGGUCCCCGGUGCCGGAGUGAAGAUGUUAAGUUCACUGCCUGGGGAGUACGGUCGCAAGGCUGAAACUUAAAGGAAUUGGCGGGGCAGCAC